rnacentral:piRNA from 1 species
UGAAGAGUUGUCACAGAACAGAGUGAA